AAUGAACGCUGGCGGCAUGCCUAACACAUGCAAGUCGAACGAGAUCUUCGGAUCUAGUGGUGCAUGGGUGCGUAACGCGGGGGAAUCUGCCCAUGGGUUCGGAAUAACUUCUGGAAACGGAAGCUAAAACCGGAUCAUGACCUAAGUCCAAAGAUUGAUCGCCCUAGGAUGAGCCCGCGUAGGAUGACCUUGUUGGUGGGGUAAAGGCCCAUCAAAGGGACGAUCCUUAGCUGGUCAGAGAGGAUGAUCAGCCACACUGGGGCUGAGACGCGGUCCAGACUACUACGGGAGGCGGGAGUAGGGAAUAUAGGACAGCGGGGGGAAUGAUGAACGAGCUAUGCCGCGAGAGUGAUGAAGGCCUGGAGGUUGUAAAGCACUUUUACCCGGGAUGAUAAUGACGGUACCGGGAGAAUAAGCACCGGCUAACUCCGUG
rnacentral:rRNA from 1 species